GGAUCGUCUGGAGCUUGGCCAUUUGCAUGCUUGAAGUCAGUGGCCCCCAGACUGGCAAGGCAUACUGCCAUAUUGGGGCAAUCAGCUGCUUAUAGAGGAGGACCUUUGGAGGUAUGCCAUGACGGAUUUUUUGGCCAGGAGUUGCCCGGCUAACCUUGGAACUGGAGUGUGUUGCUGCACAGACCAUGAUAAUGCAUCAGCCAGGAGCCGC